rnacentral:rRNA from 1 species
GGGUGAUAGCUGGUUCUCUCCGAAAUAGCUUUAGGGCUAGCCUCGGAAUUGAGAAUGAUGGAGGUAGAGCACUGUUUGGACUAGGGGCCGAUUUUUGGUUAUCGAAUUCAGAUAAACUCCGAAUGCCAUUCAUUUAUAUCCGGGAGUCAGACUGCGAGUGAUAAGAUCCGUAGUCGAAAGGGAAACAGCCCAGACCACCAGCUAAGGUCCCAAAAUAUAUGUUAAGUGGAAAAGGAUGUGGGGUUGCACAGACAACUAGGAGGU